rnacentral:rRNA from 1 species
AGAGUUUGAUCCUGGCUCAGAACGAACGCUGGCGGCGUGGAUAAGACAUGCAAGUCGAACGGGACAUUAUUUGUAGCAAUACAGAUGAUGUUCAGUGGCGAAAGGGUGCGUAACACGUGGGCAAUCUACCGAGAAGUGGGGCAUAGCUCGCCGAAAGGCGAAUUAAUACCGCAUGUGACCUUGGACCUCCUAGUCUGAGCGUCAAAGCCGGGGCAACCUGGCGCUUCUUGAUGAGCCCGCGGCCUAUCAGCUAGUUGGUGAGGUAACGGCUCACCAAGGCUAUGACGGGUAGCUGGUCUGAGAGGACGACCAGCCACACUGGAACUGAGACACGGUCCAGACACCUACGGGUGGCAGCAGUCGAGAAUUUUUCACAAUGGGGGCAACCCUGAUGGAGCGACGCCGCGUGGAGGAUGAAGGUCUUCGGAUUGUAAACUCCUGUCAUUGGUGAACAAGAUCGGCCGGGUAACUCCGUUGCCGGUUUGCUAGUAGCCGAAGAGGAAGGGACGGCUAACUCUGUGCCAGCAGCCGCGGUAAUACAGAGGUCCCGAGCGUUGUUCGGAUUUAUUGGGCGUAAAGGGUGCGUAGGCGGCGGAGUAAGUUGGGUGUGAAAUCCCGGGGCUUAACCUCGGAAUUGCAUUCAAUACUGCUUCGCUCGAGUACUGGAGAGGAGGCUGGAAUUUACGGUGUAGCAGUGAAAUGCGUAGAUAUCGUAAGGAAGGCCGGUGGCGAAAGCGAGCCUCUGGACAGUUACUGACGCUGAUGCACGAAGGCCAGGGGAGCAAACGGGAUUAGAUACCCCAGUAGUCC